GCUCACGGCUCUGCCAUACAUACCAUUUCUUUACAUCACAGCAGACAUGCAGAGCAUGCUAAUGCUUUGGAUGGAAGAUGCGAAUAAUAUGAAUCUGUUUUAUAGACUCUAGAAGCUUUUAAGCAAAUGUAAUUGGCAUGUGUUGAGCCAAAUCUCACGGCUGUUGGCAGCUUCCUACCUGCCUGUGCCAUUAUGGGAGCACUGGAACAACGUAUAUUCACCAAUCCAGUUUAUUUAAUGCCACAUCAACCGACUUCUUCUGAACAUCUUAUUAAUAGGGUUCAUGGGGUUUCAGCUGUUCUACUACCUGGGGGUGGAUUCCCUUAUAUCAGGGAAGGAUUGAUUUCUAACAGGGGAUUUUGUUAGAUAUUGCAGUUAUAAAUCCCGUGGCAACGAUGAAUGAAUCUUUAUAGAAUGCGCCAAAAUAGAGCUGCUGAAGCAUGGAUUGAACAUAUAUGAAAACAAAUAACCCUAAUACUUCACGUACAGAGAAAACCUACAAAAUGUUUGACAAAAUGCCUCGUAAAGAAUGAACACACAAGAAUGGUGCGCAAAGUAUUUGACGAAAUGUAUCCAGGAAAUUUAAGGAUUCCUGCGCAUACACUGAGUGGAUGUGUUGAGAGACUUUGGAAACUUCCAAUCAAAUGCCCAAUACAAUCUUUGCCUGUUCUAUGAUGGAAUUUUAGGGCAAAAUUUAAACAUAAAAGGCAUAAUACAGAGGAUUUUGUUCAGAUGUUAGCGUUGCAAGUGUCUAAAAAAGCGUACACAGAAUGUGAAAGCAUAGAUAAAGUGUGAAAUGUUAGAUAUAAUGUUUCAAAGCACUGUAGUCACAUUGAAUGUGCUGAACAAAUGGAUUCUUUUCAACCAAAUGCAAUCUUCGCCAGCAUUCUUCAUAGGUACUGUGAAGAGCAAUCUAAACGUCCAUCAAAGGAUCAAUGAUAGAGGAAUUCAUUCAAAUUUUGUAAUAGACAUGCUGUAGCUACCGAAAUGAACACGGUAUUCAAAAUAUGGGAGUACAGAGAAGGCUUGUAAACUGCUUGACUCCAUGUUUUAAUGGAAUAGUGAUUGCAAGGAUACACGAGCUUUAGCCAUGCCACUUUUGUGAUGAAGAUGAGCCAUUGUUUGUCGUCCAAGAUGAAUUGUUGCGAAGGGCAGCUGUUAGUAGUUUUCUUAAAGCUAACAUGUUCAGAAGUCACUACUAGAAGUUUGUUCAAAUUUAAGGGUUCGCCAUUCCUGUACAACAAAUUUUCAUCAAGGGAACUAUAUUCUUUUCCUAUGCAAAUCGAAAAUAUUAUUAGUUGAAAGGGAGAAGAAAGCUGUAAAACUCAUCUGACCGCUGCACAUGAACCGUUUGACAAAAUAUAUGCAUAUAGUGGAGGGUCAGAGCAAGCACAUGAAUUAUUCAACAAAAAUGUCUUUGAGAUUUUACAAUACAGGGCAAGCAGAUUCAUGGAGAUAUUAUCAGGCAUAUGCCUAGAUUCAAUCAAAUGGAUUACAAUCGGCUGGAUAAAGUUCAAAUGGUAUUAUGUAAUUUACUGAUUGCAAGAUAUUUUUAGGAUAGUUGUAAUAUUAACACGUUGAGACUGAUUCAUGAAAUUCAACUUAUUAGUAUGGAAUUCAAUUUGAUCACCACUGUAAAAAUUCUCCUGGCAUAGAUCAUAACAGGAACAUCGAAAUGGAGCGUGGACUUGUGUAAAAGGCUAGAAAUGUUUCACAAAAUGCUCUGAUAUGAUUUUCUUGAGCUGGAAUUCCCUGCAGCGAAGCCCUUCGAGAUCUUCGACAGGUGAAUUUCAUAUAUUUGCUAAAAAAUUCUUGUGAUUUCUAGGCUUUUAGAUCAUGCUCUAUGAUUUAUAGUGUUAAAAUCCAACACAAAAAUUGUUAUGUGUUCUUUGCAAUUUUUGCUUGACGCGUUGCCAUUUUGGAAUCGGUUAUUAUUUGCACAAAUUCUGCAUAUAAUGAGGUUUGUUUUAAAUAAAUUGAAAGUAAGACGAUUCCUGAAAAUUAAGAAUGGGAUUACAGUACGGAAAAUGUUUAUGAUCUGUUAUCAUGGCAGGAUGGGUGCCGAAAAUAAAGAUAAAAUCCAAUUUUAAGUCAGUCGAUAUCAGUGAAUGAUUGCAUUAUUGUUUAUCAUUUAAAUUUUGUUUGCAUAUUUGUCUAUAUAAUGUUCUGAAAUCAUUUAUUUCUAUGAAAACUCUGAAGUCAAUCCAACUGUUACAAAGAUCAAUCAGCACUAUUAUUUAUCAUUUAUUCUACAUAUUAUAUAAUGAAAUAUCCGUGUUUGUUUUGGAAACAUACAACACUAUCAUAUUCAGUUUCUUUAACUAGACUUGUUUUACAAGCAAUAAACAAAUGAUUCGGAAUAUCCGAUACUCCCAGUGAUAGGAAUGCUGCAUACAAAUUGAUUUCAAAUACACCAGAAAUGACAGAAUUUCAUAUUCAAACAUUGACAGAAUUU